rnacentral:rRNA from 1 species
GACGAACGCUGGCGGCGUGCUUAACACAUGCAAGUCGAACGGACAGGCCCUGCUUUUGUGGGGUGCUCGAGUGGCGAACGGGUGAGUAACACGUGAGUAACCUGCCCUUGACUUUGGGAUAACUUCAGGAAACUGGGGCUAAUACCGGAUAGGAGCUCCUGCUGCAUGGUGGGGGUUGGAAAGUUUCGGCGGUUGGGGAUGGACUCGCGGCUUAUCAGCUUGUUGGUGGGGUAGUGGCUUACCAAGGCUUUGACGGGUAGCCGGCCUGAGAGGGUGACCGGCCACAUGGGGACUGAGAUACGGCCCAGAAUCCUACGGGAGGCAGCAGUGGGGAAUAUUGCACAAUGGGCGGAAGCCUGAUGCAGCAACGCCGCGUGCGGGAUGACGGCCUUCGGGUUGUAAACCGCUUUCGCCUGUGACGAAGCGUGAGUGACGGUAAUGGGUAAAGAAGCACCGGCUAACUACGUG